ensembl:lncRNA
GUGUUGCCAACAUCAGACAUUUCCCAGCUCCGGUGUCGCCAACGUCAGACGAUUCCCAGCUCCAAUGUUAUCUGAGGUCGGAUGAUUCCCAGCUCCGACGUCCUCCCCAACAUUGGACAUUUCCCAGCUCCGGUGUCGCCAACGUCAGACGAUUCCCAGCUCCAAUGUUAUCUGAGGUCGGAUGAUUCCUGGCUCCGACAUCCCCAACGUUGGAUGUUUCCCAGCUCUGGUGUUGCUCCAGGUCGGACAUUUCCCAGCUCCGGUGUCACCAACGUCAGACGAUUCCCAGCUCCAAUGUUAUCUGAGAUCGGAUGAUUCCCAGCUCCGAUGUCCCCAAAGUAGGACAAUUCCCAGCUCUGAUGUUAUCUGAGGUCAGAUGAUUCUUGGCUCCGACGUCCCCAACGUUGGAUGUUUCCCGGCUCCGGUGUUGCUCCAGGUUGGACGUUUCCCAGCUCCGGUGCCGCCAACGUCGGACAAUUCCCAGCUCUGAUAUUAUCUGAGGUCGGAUGAUUCUUGGCUCCAACGUCCUCAACGUUGGGUGUUUCCCGGCUCCAGUGUUGCUCCAGGUUGGAUGUUUCCCGGCUCCGGUGUCGCCAACAUUGGACAUUUCCCAGCUCCGGUGUCGCCAACGUCAGACAAUUCCCAGCUCUAAUGUUAGCUGAGAUCAGAUGAUUCCCAGCUCCGACGUCCCCAACGUUGGCGUUUCCCAGCUCCGGUGUUGCUCCAGGUUGGACGUUUCCCAGCUCCGGUGCCGCCAACGUCAGACGAUUCCCAGCUCCAAUGUUAGCUGAGAUCAGAUGAUUCCCAGCUCCGACGUCCCCAACGUUGGACGUUUCCCAGCUCCGGUGUUGCUCCAGGUUGGAUGUUUCCCAGCUCCGGUGUCGCCAACGUCAGACGAUUCCCAGCUCCAAUGUUAUCUGAGGUCAGAUGAUUCCCAGCUCCGAUGUCCCCAAAGUUGGACGAUUCCCGGCUCUUGGUGUCCCCCCAGGUUGGAUGUUUCCCAGCUCCGAUGUCCCCAACAUCGGAGGUUUCCCAGCUCCAAUGUCACCCCAGGUCCGAUGUCUGCUGGCUCCAGUGUCCCCAACAUCAGACGCUUCCCGGCUCCGAUGUCCCCAACAUCAGACGUUUCCCGGCUCCGGGGGACCCUCAAGGUCAGACGUUCCCCGAUUUCAGCGUCCCCCCAGGUCGGACGUUGCCCAGCUCCGAUGUUCCUCGUGUCGGAUGUUUCCUGACUCCAAUGGCCCCAACGUCGGACACUUCCCAUCUCCGAUGUCCCCAACGUUGGGCUUUUCCUGGCUCCGACGUCCCUCCGGGUCAAGCCGUUGGCUGGCGCUGCCGGUUUCGGUGUUCGUUGACUCUGGUGGACCUCCAGGUCGGACAUCCGUUGGCUCCGGCAUCCGCUUGGGUGUCGGCCGGCUCCGGCGUCCCCCAACUCGGACAUUUCCCGGCUCCGACGUCUCCCACGUUGGACGCUCGCCGGCGCCGCCGGUUUUGGUGUCGGCCGGAUUCAAUAUCGGCCGGUUUUGGUGUCCACCAGCUCCGACACCUGCGGGUCGGACACUGCCUGUCCCCGUCACCCCGUUUUCCGUCCCCGUCGCCCCGUUUUCCGUCUCCGCCGCCCGCCGGCUUCAACGUCCCCCCAGGUGAGACGUUUCCCAGUGCCAAAACCCGCCGGUUUUGGUGUUUGCCAGCUCCAACAUCUGCCGGUUUUGGUGUCCACCAGCUCCGGCACCCGCAGGUGGGACAUUUCCCGGCUCCGUCACCCGUUGGCUUCAACGUCCUCCAGCUCGGAUGUUUUCCAGUGCCAAAAAACACUGGUUUUGGUGUCCACCAGCUCCAACAUCUCCUGAUUUUGGUGUCUGCCACCUCCAACAUCUGCCAGUUUUGGUGUCCGCCAGCUCCAACAUCUGUUUUUGGUGUCCGCCAGCUCCAACAUCUGCCAGUUUUGGUGUCCACCAGCUCCAACAUCUCCUGGUUUUGGUGUCCACCAGCUCCAACAUCUGGUUUUGGUGUCCGCCAGCUCCAACAUCUCCUGAUUUUGGUGUCCACCAACAUCUGGUUUUGGUGUCCACCAGCUCCAACACCUGCCAGUUUUGGUGUCCACCAGCUCCAACAUCUGCCGGUUUUGGUGUCCACCAGCUCCAACACCUGCAGCUUGGACAUCUCCUAUUGCCACCACCAGCCGGCUUCAAUGUCCUCCAGAUUAGACAUUUCCCAGUGCCAAAAACUGCCGGUUUUGGUGUCCGCCAGCUCCAACAUCUGCUGGUUUUGGUGUCUGCUGGCUCCAACACCUGCCGGUUUUGGUGUCCACCAGCUCCAACACCUGCAGCUUGGACAUCUCUCAUCUCUGCCACCAGUCAGCAUCAACGUCCUCCAGAUUAGAUAUUUCCUGGUGCCGAAAACUGCCGGUUUUGGUGUCCACCAGCUCCAACACCUGCAGCUUGGACAUCUCCCAUUGCUACCGUCAACCAGCUUCAAUGUCCUCCAGAUUGGACACUUCCCGGUGCCGGAAACUGCCGGUUUUGGUGUCCGCCAGCUCCAACACCUGCCGGUUUUGGUGUCCGCCAGCUCCAACAUCUGCCAGUUUUGGUGUCCACCAGCUCCAACAUCUGCCAGUUUUGGUGUCCGCCAGCUCCAACAUCUGGUUUUGGUGUCCGCCAGCUCCAACAUCUCCUGAUUUUGGUGUCUGCCAGCUCCAACACCCGCAGGUCGGACAUUUCCCACCUCCGCUGCCCGUCGCCUUCAACGUCCCUCGGCUCGGACGCUUCCCGCUGCCAAAACCGGCCGUUUCGGGUGUUUGCCGGCUCCGGCGUCCGCUGAUCCCAACACCCGCGGGCCGGACGUCGCCCGUCUCCGCCGGCUUUCGACGUCUCCCGGCUGCCGCUCGCCGAAAACGCCGGGUUUGGGGGGGGGCGGAAACGCCGACCGGCUCCACCGCCCUCGGCGUCCGCCGGCGCCGGGGGUUUUUUUUUGGAUUUUAUUGUUAUUUAUUAAUUCCAGAGGGGAAAAAAGGGGGGAAAACAGGCGCGAGGAGGCGGCAGCCGGCGGCGGCGGCGGCAGCGGGGGGUCACGU